CAAAAUUGAUUAACAGUUGAGAUCAAAUCAUUUUUUCUUUCCUUUUAAACUCAACAAACCCUAAUCUCUCAUAUUUUGACAAAAACAACUCCAUCUCUCUAAAAAUUUCACCACCACCGGCGACCCCAUUCCCGCCACCAGCGCUGCCAAUGCCGCCUCCCCUUUCUCUCUUUUCUCGCGGCCAGCCACCAGCAAAACCAACACUUCCUCUCAUUCUAUCUCUCUCUCUAAAAUAUCUCUCUUACGUCCACUAGUACCGCUGACGGACAACAACAUCCAACGACAAUAGCAGCCGGUGGAGCAGCCAAUCGGUGUCACCAUCAAAGCCGAUACCAUAGCUGCCACCACUGCUCUUUCUCCCUUCUCUAGCCGGUGACUCUCCACCAUCAAAUGGUUUCUGCCGCCAAGCCAAACAUCGGGCUUCACCGGCGAAACCAACCAAACCAGCGCUGCUGUCUAUGAGAGGCUCCAAGACCAGUGCACAUCAAUCCUAACAUCGGUCAUCGCUGACCGACGAUUCUCCAUCACAUGCAGCCACCGCUCCGUCCUUCCUUCCCUCGCCGGCGAAAUACCGGUGAAAUAGCAACAAUAUCAGUCGCUUCUCUGCCCUUGACCCGGACUGAAAUUCACCGAAAAAUUAUUUGAAGGGCAUCGCAGAUUCGCAAACAUGACUCCGCCUCAGGUGUAACUAGAUGGUUUUGGAAUUUGAAGUCAUCCGGAAGUUUGGGGAAAGGCUGCCUUUUUAGUUUAGCCUUUUCUUUAUUAAUUCAUUUAGUCUGUAAUAAUUGCCUUGUAUAAACACUACCUAUGUAAUAAUAAUUGUGGGGGCUACUUAGUGGGUGAGGUUUGUGUGCUACCUGAAUCACUCAGGCAAACACAACUUAGGUUCACUAACUUAUUUGAACGCAUAGAGAGCAUGUUUUCAGGAUUAAUCACCAAUUAUAAUCGAUUUCGAGUAUGAUAAUUAACUUACAAUGAGACA